GCCCGGAUGGUGAAAUUGGUAGACACAAGGGACUUAAAAUCCCUCGACUGGAAACGGUUGUGCCGGUUCGACUCCGGCUCCGGGCA
rnacentral:tRNA from 5 species